GACGAACGCUGGCGGCGUGCUUAACACAUGCAAGUCGAGCGGUAAGGCCCUUUCGGGGGUACACGAGCGGCGAACGGGUGAGUAACACGUGGGUGACCUGCCCUCAGCUCUGGGAUAAGCCUGGGAAACCGGGUCUAAUACCGGAUAUGACUCCAUGACGCAUGUUGUGGGGUGGAAAGCCUUGUGCGGCUGAGGAUGGGCCCGCGGCCUAUCAGCUUGUUGGUGGGGUGAUGGCCUACCAAGGCGACGACGGGUAGCCGGCCUGAGAGGGCGACCGGCCACACUGGGACUGAGACACGGCCCAGACUCCUACGGGAGGCAGCAGUGGGGAAUCUUGCGCAAUGGGCGAAAGCCUGACGCAGCGACGCCGCGUGAGGGAUGACGGCCUG
rnacentral:rRNA from 1 species